rnacentral:ncRNA from 1 species
UUCUUGGAGAGUUUGAUCCUGGCUCAGGACGAACGCUGGCGGCGUGCCUAAUACAUGCAAGUCGAGCGAAUCUUUGGGAGCUUGCUCCCGAAGGUUAGCGGCGGUGAGGU